rnacentral:misc_RNA from 1 species
GUUCCGUAGGUGAACCUGCGGAAGGAUCAUUAAUGAGUUGUCAUGGGGUUCGAUGCUGGCAGCCAAUUUUUGGAUGCAUGUGCUUGCCCUAACAAUCAUCUUCCAAACACCUGUGCACAUUUUUGAGGGAGUCUUGAGUUGGUUGCCGCUCUUGGGUGAUUUUCUCACAUUCCCUUAAAUCAUUAUACGCUAUUAACAAUGUUGAACGUGCUCUGUGCCGCAAGGCUAUUAAUAUAAUACAACUUUUAACAACGGAUCUCUUGGCUCUC